CCAUUACUGAGCAUGCGCACACUAGGAAAAUGAAGCCGGGUUCAACAAAACAGCUACACCAGCAAAAUUUAGUUCCUUACUCUGUCUCCAAAAAAAUGCUGCUAAAUGCGCCAGUUUUCUCGACUGCUUUUACGGAGAUUUUUUGAUGGAGUGGAAGAUGCAAUGGAGUAUUGUCGUUUCGUCAAGCCCAAGUAACCAGCUAAUGAUUUCACUCGCAGCAAACCUAGCUCGACUGCCCUUCGAAAUGAUAUAUUCUUCAUUGGUUUCCAAAUAAAGAUGCCCUCUUUAGGGACAAUCUCA